rnacentral:sRNA from 1 species
GCCACAAAGAUCAGAGAGAACCAAGAAAGUGUUGAUUGACACAGGGCCAUUGUAUUUCAAGCCAACAACGAUGCAACUGAGGUGGUUCUAAACAAGCUCCAUGCUCCGCUGCUGACAAGGUUUGUUAGAAUCCGCCCUCAGACCUGGCACUCAGGUAUCGCCCUCCGGCUGGAGCUCUUCGGCUGCCGGGUCACAGAUGCUCCCUGCUCCAACAUGCUGGGGAUGCUCUCAGGCCUCAUUGCAGACUCCCAGAUCUCCGCCUCUUCCACCCAGGAAUACCUCUGGAGCCCCAGUGCAGCCCGCCUGGUCAGCAGCCGCUCGGGCUGGUUCCCUCGAAUCCCUCAGGCCCAGCCCGGUGAGGAGUGGCUUCAGGUAGAUCUGGGAACACCCAAGACAGUGAAAGGUGUCAUCAUUCAGGGAGCCCGCGGAGGAGACAGUAUCACUGCCGUGGAAGCCAGAGCGUUUGUGCGCAAGUUCAAAGUCUCCUACAGCCUAAACGGCAAAGACUGGGAAUACAUUCAGGAACCCAGGACCCAGCAGCCAAAGGUAGGCUGUUCUUGGAGGCCUCUGUAACGUUACCCUCAACAGGGAGGCUAAGUGGGGUACAGGGAGUUGAGAAUGAUGAUGUCCCAUCUAAACAGUCGUCAUCCAACUCCUGAAAUCCAAUAAAACAAAUAUCAUUUGAGA